GUCCACGCUGUAAACGAUGAGAACUAGGUGUCGUGGGUGUUGACCCCCGCGGUGCCGCAGCUAACGCAUUAAGUUCUCCGCCUGGGAAGUACGGCCGCAAGGCUAAAACUCAAAGGAAUUGACGGGGGCCCCGCACAAGCGGUGGAGCAUGUGGUUUAAUUCGACGCAACGCGCAGAACCUUACCCAGACUUGACAUCUAUCAAAGUUGGCCCAAAAGCCGACGUGCCCGCAAGGGAAUGGUAAGACAGGUGCUGCAUGGCUGUCGU
rnacentral:rRNA from 1 species